UAUUCUCGAUUCAACACGGAAGCUGGCUAUUAGGGUUUGACCCGAUUACUUAUUUACUAGCCGUCGGAUCACUUAUCAUCUUCAUUAUAUAUAACCCACCAUACAGACCUUCUACUUCAUGCGCCGUUCACAUUCACUUCUCUUCCUCUGUCCACUCUCUCUGAAGUUAGCUUAUUAAUUUUCAUUUUGCAAUCUUCACUUUGUGCUCGUAUAUUGUUUCCUAGCAUCUAUUUCGAUUUCGAUUUGCUAUUUGAAAUUGGCUUCACUAUCUGGUCGAUGUGGAUUGUUUCAAUUCCCUUUAGACUCGUUCCCUUGAAGCAAUAGUUAUAUGUGUUGUUUUUUCAUUUCACUUCCACAAUCCUUUUUUUUGGUUGCGGGAGAAUGCGAGAACAACUAAAUUUUGAAUUAUAAAUUAGAUCUUUUCAUUGAUGAGUAUGGAGAAUGACUAGUUUUAACUGUGAUGAGUUCUUAACAGACCUGUAAUGAUUUGCGGGAAUGAUCGCAGAUUUAUUGAACAUCUAAGGGGCUGAGUUAACUAGUUCUUCACCCAAUUUUCUCUUUGAUUCUUGUUUUUAUAAGUUUUCAAUUUUUAAUUAUCGAAACUCUGUGGCUUCAGAUCUGGAUUUUAUUGUUGCUUUCACUUUUCAAAUGUGUUUGUAGUGUUUAAUUGAAGCCUAUAAUUGUGUUCCCCUCGCUAUCCACUACUACAAUUUCGAUGUUGUAUUUGGACGUCGGGGAACUAAAUUUCUCAAUAAUAUUUAAAUCUUAAUUGACUUUUACAGAUCUAGUUUCUUUGUAAACGUUUUGUUAACUGUGGUCGAUAAGGAUGAAGCAAAAUAUAUAAUCCAACACUUGAUCUGAUUUUGUGAUGCUAAAUGUAUCUAUAUGCUUCUGAAUCUAUACGUUUGUUAUGUAAUGUAUAUUUCUCUGUUUAUUUAGGGUAUUUUGACAGUAUUAUAUUGCCCAUUUGUUUUUGCAUUUUAUGUAUCAUGUGAUGAGUUUGGAAUAAAUCUUAGGACACCUUCCUACACAACUUAGGUUGUGGAUGAGAUGAAUUAUCCUUACUGAUGAUGAAGUAAAUUAAUAUGAUUUUUACAUUACUCAAUAUAGAUUUAAUCAUUUUUUUUGGUAAUAAUAUGAACCAUACGGAAUUGUUAAAAGGAUUUCUUUGUAAUUCCUAUUAGCUGCUGGCCUUCAUAAUCCCAGAUAAGAUUGAAUAUUUUUUCAAGUUCUUACACUGAUUCAUGGGAGGCCUAAAUUAAUGGUUGGAAGUUUCGCUGAUAAAUGCCUUUAAUUUAAAUUUACAUCAAGGUGUUUACUAGUAACUAUGCCACACAUUUGGUUUUACAUAUUUGAAUAUUCUUGUUUCUUUGUUUUUUUGAGAUGUCAGUUAUAUUCUGUUUUUGUUGCAAAAUUUUCUAAACCAGUUUAGUGUUUUAUGUCAAUGUUGUUUAGCAUCCACUGACCAAUACAUUUUUUAUUUCAAACACAUGUCAUGAUGACAUAUAAAUUAUGCACUCGUUCGAUUAAGAAAGACCAGAAAAAAAUUCCGUGGUUGUCUUUGGCAUUCCUUCACACCCUCGUUCUAAAAGGCUCUGAUUUACCUCUUGGCAUUCUUCAAACCCAUGUUGCUGCUAGCUUGUUAUAUUUUCAGUGCAAUCCCGAACUUUAUUUUUUCGUUGAAUAUUAUUAUUGUCCACUUAAUUUCUCUCUGUGAAACUUUCGUUGGAGAUGAUCCAAAUCCAGGAUGUAGUCACAAUUCCUACAUGUUCGACUUGGUAAAGAUGUAGUCACAAGUCAUAGACAAUUCACUUUGGCAACAGUGACUUCAAGCCAGUGAAGGCGAAUAUCAUGUUCGACACUACAUAGAAUAGAAUGUAUUGUUCAUUUAAGUUAUAGUGAGGGGACUAAUUAAGACAAUGGGUGAAUUUUAGGAACCAUUAGGUACAUAUAACAUGGGGGUUAAUAUCCCAGUAUAUAUGUUUCCAUAGUUUUAAUAGUUGUACAGUUGGAUAGUGCAUACAAUUGAUGGAAAAGGUUAAUGAGAUUUUUCCCACCAAAUGAAAUGAUUCCAGAGGUAACAAGAGAAUACCCAUACUAAUGAACAUAGAGGAAGAUCCACGACAGUUGAAACUGAUAAAAUCUAUGUGACACAGAUGAAUAAGAUUAUAGGGAUGACCAGUUGGACAAAGUCUCUAUUUAUCACGGAUCUAUAAGUUAAUAGUGGUGAACUGUUGGACAAAAUCUCUGUAGAUCAGGACAUGGUCGUCAUUAUAGGGAUGUGACCUGCCUCAAUCCUAUAACUAUACUAGUAUUUAUAAAGAGGGAUUUAGGAUAAUGAUUAUGUCUAAAACUUAGAAAUGUAAAUUUUGAUUCCAGUUAAUAAUGAGAAAUUCAUUUGUUGAAAAAUAAUAUAUUUUGACGUUAAUUUCUACUUUCGGAAGUGUAUUACCGUCUCUUAAACUAGAGUUAAAUGCUAGGACAUUUCUCAUUCCUAUAUUUCCAACAUUCGGAUCUUGUUACACAACCUAAACUUUGAGAGCCUUAGCUCUCUCUGUCUUGCCCUUACCAAUACAUAUAUUUUCAGCA